rnacentral:rRNA from 1 species
CAGUCGCCGCGGGAAUACGAAGGGUGCAAGCGUUAAUCGGAAUUACUGGGCGUAAAGCGUGCGUAGGCGGUUUGUUAAGUCUGCUGUGAAAUCCCCGGGCUCAACCUGGGAAUGGCAGUGGAUACUGGCAAGCUAGAGUGUGUCAGAGGAUGGUGGAAUUCCCGGUGUAGCGGUGAAAUGCGUAGAAAUCGGGAGGAACAUCAGUGGCGAAGGCGGCCAUCUGGGACAACACUGACGCUGAGGCACGAAAGCGUGGGGAGCAAACAGGAUUAGAUACCCCCGUAGUCCCUGUCUCUUAUAC